GUCGAGCGAGCUUGCCUAGAUGAUUUUAGUGCUUGCACUAAAUGAAACUAGAUACAAGCGAGCGGCGGACGGGUGAGUAACACGUGGGUAACCUGCCCAAGAGACUGGGAUAACACCUGGAAACAGAUGCUAAUACCGGAUAACAACACUAGACGCAUGUCUAGAGUUUGAAAGAUGGUUCUGCUAUCACUCUUGGAUGGACCUGCGGUGCAUUAGCUAGUUGGUAAGGUAACGGCUUACCAAGGCAAUGAUGCAUAGCCGAGUUGAGAGACUGAUCGGCCACAUUGGGACUGAGACACGGCCCAAACUCCUACGGGAGGCAGCAGUAGGGAAUCUUCCACAAUGGACGAAAGUCUGAUGGAGCAACGCCGCGUGAGUGAAGAAGGGUUUCGGCUCGUAAAGCUCUGUUGGUAGUGAAGAAAGAUAGAGGUAGUAACUGGCCUUUAUUUGACGGUAAUUACUUAGAAAGUCACGGCUAACUACGUGCCAGCAGCCGCGGUAAUACGUAGGUGGCAAGCGUUGUCCGGAUUUAUUGGGCGUAAAGCGAGUGCAGGCGGUUCAAUAAGUCUGAUGUGAAAGCCUUCGGCUCAACCGGAGAAUUGCAUCAGAAACUGUUGAACUUGAGUGCAGAAGAGGAGAGUGGAACUCCAUGUGUA
rnacentral:rRNA from 1 species